rnacentral:lncRNA from 1 species
AAUAUCCAGCACCUGCAAAAUAUUGUGAAGUAUUAGGAACAGUUGUAAUGAAAACUGACUGCAAGCGUCAUAACAACAGAAAAUCAAGUGCUACGAGACUAAGUGUUUUCCAAUUUAUAUCAAGUAUGACAGUGUGUUAAUACAAAAAUGUUGAGGGUGAAAAUGAAAUUUUGAAUCCAGAUGUGCUCCUUCGUCAUCCUGCUAGCAUAAAAGAAAGGAUGUGGUCUACCACAUGUGGCUCAAACACUUCCUCAUCUAGACAAGGUGGUAAGAGGCUGAGGAGAUACCUUAAAAAAACAAAACAAAAAACAACAACAACAAAAAGACCGAAACUAAAGCUGACAGAAUUAUCCUUGCACAAAGAUUGGUGGAGACAUAAUGUCAGUG